GACGAACGCUGGCGGCGUGCCUAAUACAUGCAAGUAGAACGCUGAAGGAGGAGCUUGCUCUUCUGGAUGAGUUGCGAACGGGUGAGUAACGCGUAGGUAACCUGCCUGGUAGCGGGGGAUAACUAUUGGAAACGAUAGCUAAUACCGCAUAAUAGUAGAUGUUGCAUGAUAUUUACUUAAAAGGUGCAAUUGCACCACUACCAGAUGGACCUGCGUUGUAUUAGCUAGUUGGUGGGGUAACGGCUCACCAAGGCGACGAUACAUAGCCGACCUGAGAGGGUGAUCGGCCACACUGGGACUGAGACACGGCCCAGACUCCUACGGGAGGCAGCAGGAGGGAAUCUUCGGCAAUGGACGAAAGUCUGACCGAGCAACGCCGCGUGAGUGAAGAAGGUUUUCGGAUCGUAAAGCUCUGUUGUAAGAGAAGAACGAGUGUGAGAGUGGAAAGUUCACACUGUGACGGUAUCUUACCAGAAAGGGACGGCUAACUACGUG
rnacentral:rRNA from 1 species